CUAGGAAUGGAGGAAAAAGCUGAUUAGCUAGAACUGACCACAACUGGGGGGGGGGAGGAGGCCAGAUGUUCAAUACCACACAGCUGUGCUUGGACUGUACUCAAUCUUACAUAAUCUGUGCCAAACUACAUCAUUAGUCCUGACACUGAGAAGCAUGAAAGCUCACCCAGAGAACUCUUCUGGUGCCAGGAGGAUGGAAUUCCCACAUACGCAAUCUGCUAACACAGGGCUGUGUCUGACAAGCCAUGCAUCGCCAGGUUAACCAGUCUGCAGGACUGUGGCCAUGGACCCUAAUAGAAACAGGUCAACAGCUUCCACUUCUGAACUGCUAUCUGUUCUAUCCCAGAAUAUAUGGAGGCUACCACAAAGAGACAAAGCCUUGAUUGGGGACCUCCAACAGCCAAGCUGGCAACUCUCAGGAGCCCAAGAAGAGAGUGAUUCAUUUUGGUUUACUACAUAUACAUAAGUCAAAGAAACACUGCCAUGUCAAGUGCAUACUAGGCAGACACUGAUAUGAAAAAGCAGGACAAGAAGGGAGAUCCCUACAGUGUUCAGAGGACAGGCUUUGUGAGAAACUGUGACAAAGGAGAUCCUGGCAAGGAUGCAGCUACCUGUUGUAACUUCAGGGCUCUACCUUUUAGACAGCCC